rnacentral:rRNA from 1 species
ACGAACGCUGGCGGCAGGCUUAACACAUGCAAGUCGAACGCUGUAGCAAUACAGAGUGGCAGACGGGUGAGUAACACGUGGGAAUCUACCCAUCCCUACGGAACAACUCCGGGAAACUGGAGCUAAUACCGUAUACGCCCCUUGAUGGUGGACAUUGAGGGGGAAAGAUUUAUCGGGGAUGGAUGAGCCCGCGUUGGAUUAGCUAGUUGGUGGGGUAAAGGCCUACCAAGGCGACGAUCCAUAGCUG